GAUGAACGCUGGCGGCGUGCUUAACACAUGCAAGUCGAACGGGUGAAGAAGAGCUUGCUCUUUGGAACUAGUGGCGGACGGGUGAGUAACGCGUGGGCAACCUGCCCUACAGAGGGGGAUAACAACCAGAAAUGGUUGCUAAUACCGCAUAAGCUUACGCUUUCGCAUGGAAGAGUAAGAAAAGAUUUAUUACUGUAGGAUGGGCCCGCGUCUGAUUAGCUAGUUGGAGAGGUAACGGCUCACCAAGGCGAUGAUCAGUAGCCGGCCUGAGAGGGCGGACGGCCACAUUGGGACUGAGA
rnacentral:rRNA from 1 species